rnacentral:misc_RNA from 1 species
GAUGAAGAACGUAGCGAAAUGCGAUAAGUAAUGUGAAUUGCAGAAUUCAGUGAAUCAUCGAAUGUUUGAACGCACAUUGCGCCCGCCAGUAUUCUGGCGGGCAUGCCUGUUCGAGCGUCAUUACAACCCUCAAGCUCCCCGGCUUGGUGUUGGGGACCGGCCACCGGUGCCCUGCUGCUUCCGCGGCAGGCGCACCCGGCCGCCCCCGAAAUGAAUUGGCGGCCCCGUCGCGGCCUCCCUCUGCGUAGUAGCACACAUCUCGCAACUGGAGCGCGGCGCGGCCACUGCCGUAAAACGCACCAACUUUUUUUACAGUUGACCUCGAAUCAGGUAGGAAUACCCGCUGAACUUAAGCAUAUCAAUAAGCGGAGGA